rnacentral:rRNA from 1 species
AUUGAACGCUGGCGGCAUGCUUUACACAUGCAAGUCGGACGAGUGGCGAACGGGUGAGUAACGCAUCGGAACGUACCGAGUGAUGGGGGAUACCUGGCCGAAAGGACAGCUACUACCGCAUAGUAUGCGAGCAGCCGAUGUCGGAUUAGCUGGUGGGCGGGGUAAAGGCCCACCAAGGCGACGAUCAGUAGCGGGUCUGAGAGGAUGACCAGCCACACUGGGACUGAGACACGGCCCAGACUCCUACGGGAGGCAGCAGUGGGGAAUUUUGGACAAUGGGCGCAAGCCUGAUCCAGCCAUGCCGCGUGUCUGAAGAAGGCCUUCGGGUUGUAAAGGACUUUUGGCAGGGAAGCGGUACCUGAAGAAUAGGCACCGGCUAACUACGUGCCAGCAGCCGCGGUAAUUC